rnacentral:rRNA from 1 species
ACUCCUACGGGAGGCAGCAGUGGGGAAUAUUGCACAAUGGGCGAAAGCCUGAUGCAGCAACGCCGCGUGAGGGACGACGGCCUUCGGGUUGUAAACCUCUUUUAGUAGGGAAGAAGCGAAAGUGACGGUACCUGCAGAAAAAGCACCGGCUAACUACGUGCCAGCAGCCGCGGUAAUACGUAGGGUGCAAGCGUUAUCCGGAAUUAUUGGGCGUAAAGAGCUCGUAGGCGGUUUGUCGCGUCUGCUGUGAAAACUGGAGGCUCAACCUCCAGCCUGCAGUGGGUACGGGCAGACUAGAGUGCGGUAGGGGAGAUUGGAAUUCCUGGUGUAGCGGUGGAAUGCGCAGAUAUCAGGAGGAACACCGAUGGCGAAGGCAGAUCUCUGGGCCGUAACUGACGCUGANGAGCGAAAGCAUGGGGAGCGAACAGGAUUAGAUACCCUGGUAGUCCAUGCCGUAAACGUUGGGAACUAGAUGUAGGGACCAUUCCACGGUUUCUGUGUCGCAGCUAACGCAUUAAGUUCCCCGCCUGGGGAGUACGGCCGCAAGGCUAAAACUCAAAGGAAUUGACGGGGGCCCGCACAAGCGGCGGAGCAUGCGGAUUAAUUCGAUGCAACGCGAAGAACCUUACCAAGGCUUGACAUAUACCGGAAAUGGCUAGAAAUAGUCCCCCCGCAAGGUCGGUAUACAGGUGGUGCAUGGUUGUCGUCAGCUCGUGUCGUGAGAUGUUGGGUUAAGUCCCGCAACGAGCGCAACCCUCGUUCUAUGUUGCCAGCACGUAAUGGUGGGAACUCAUAGGAGACUGCCGGGGUCAACUCGGA